rnacentral:SRP_RNA from 1 species
GCCGGGCAUGGUGUUGGGUGCCUGUAAUCCUAGUUACUCAGGAGGCUGAGGCAGGAGAAUUGCUUGAACCCAGGAGGUGGAGGUUGUAAUGAGUUGAAAUCAUACCACUGCACUCCAGCCUAGGUGAUGGAGCAAGACUCCGUCUCAAAAAAAAGGAUCGUUUUUUUUUUUUUUUUUUUUUUUUUUUUUUUUGACAGAGUUUCACUGUUGUCCAGGCUGGAGUGCAGUGGCGUGAUUUCGGCUCACUACAACCUCCACCUCCUGGGUUCAAGCAAUUCUCCUGCCUCAG